CGAACCGUGCGAACGUUGUUCGGAAUCACUGGGCUUAAAGGGCGCGUAGGCGGGCUGUCAAGUCUGGGGUGAAAUGUCGCGGCUCAACCGUGGAACUGCCUUAGAUACUGACGGCCUCGAGGGAGGUAGGGGCGUGCGGAACUGUAGGUGGAGCGGUGAAAUGCGUUGAUAUCUACAGGAACUCCGGUGGCGAAAGCGGCGCGCUGGACCUCUUCUGACGCUGAGGCGCGAAAGCUAGGGGAGCAAACGGGAUUAGAUACCCCGGUAGUCCUAGCCCUAAACGAUGGGUACUAGGUAGUAGACUAGACAUGGGUUUACUGCCGAAGCUAAAGUGCUAAGUACCCCGCCUGGGGAGUAUGGUCGCAAGGCUG
rnacentral:rRNA from 1 species